UUUUCAUCAGACAAUCUGUGUGAGCACUGCAAAGUACGCUUCUUUAAGGUAAGGAGGUGAUCCAACCGCAGGUUCCCCUACGGUUACCUUGUUACGACUUCACCCCAGUCAUGAAUCACAAAGUGGUAAGCGCCCUCCCGAAGGUUAAGCUACCUACUUCUUUUGCAACCCACUCCCAUGGUGUGACGGGCGGUGUGUACAAGGCCCGGGAACGUAUUCACCGUGGCAUUCUGAUCCACGAUUACUAGCGAUUCCGACUUCAUGGAGUCGAGUUGCAGACUCCAAUCCGGACUACGACGCACUUUAUGAGGUCCGCUUGCUCUCGCGAGGUCGCUUCUCUUUGUAUGCGCCAUUGUAGCACGUGUGUAGCCCUGGUCGUAAGGGCCAUGAUGACUUGACGUCAUCCCCACCUUCCUCCAGUUUAUCACUGGCAGUCUCCUUUGAGUUCCCGGCCGGACCGCUGGCAACAAAGGAUAAGGGUUGCGCUCGUUGCGGGACUUAACCCAACAUUUCACAACACGAGCUGACGACAGCCAUGCAGCACCUGUCUCACGGUUCCCGAAGGCACAUUCUCAUCUCUGAAAACUUCCGUGGAUGUCAAGACCAGGUAAGGUUCUUCGCGUUGCAUCGAAUUAAACCACAUGCUCCACCGCUUGUGCGGGCCCCCGUCAAUUCAUUUGAGUUUUAACCUUGCGGCCGUACUCCCCAGGCGGUCUACUUAACGCGUUAGCUCCGGAAGCCACGCCUCAAGGGCACAACCUCCAAGUAGACAUCGUUUACGGCGUGGACUACCAGGGUAUCUAAUCCUGUUUGCUCCCCACGCUUUCGCACCUGAGCGUCAGUCUUUGUCCAGGGGGCCGCCUUCGCCACCGGUAUUCCUCCAGAUCUCUACGCAUUUCACCGCUACNNNNNNNNNNNNNNNNNNNNCCCCCCUCUACAAGACUCAAGCCUGCCAGUUUCGAAUGCAGUUCCCAGGUUGAGCCCGGGGAUUUCACAUCCGACUUGACAGACCGCCUGCGUGCGCUUUACGCCCAGUAAUUCCGAUUAACGCUUGCACCCUCCGUAUUACCGCGGCUGCUGGCACGGAGUUAGCCGGUGCUUCUUCUGCGGGUAACGUCAAUUGCUGCGGUUAUUAACCACAACACCUUCCUCCCCGCUGAAAGUACUUUACAACCCGAAGGCCUUCUUCAUACACGCGGCAUGGCUGCAUCAGGCUUGCGCCCAUUGUGCAAUAUUCCCCACUGCUGCCUCCCGUAGGAGUCUGGACCGUGUCUCAGUUCCAGUGUGGCUGGUCAUCCUCUCAGACCAGCUAGGGAUCGUCGCCUUGGUGAGCCGUUACCUCACCAACAAGCUAAUCCCAUCUGGGCACAUCUGAUGGCAAGAGGCCCGAAGGUCCCCCUCUUUGGUCUUGCGACGUUAUGCGGUAUUAGCCACCGUUUCCAGUAGUUAUCCCCCUCCAUCAGGCAGUUUCCCAGACAUUACUCACCCGUCCGCCACUCGUCAGCAAAGCAGCAAGCUGCUUCCUGUUACCGUUCGACUUGCAUGUGUUAGGCCUGCCGCCAGCGUUCAAUCUGAGCCAUGAUCAAACUCUUCAAUUUAAAAGUUUGAUGCUCAAUGAAUUAAACUUCGUAAUGAAUUACGUGUUCACUCUUGAGACUUGGUAUUCAUUUUUCGUC
rnacentral:rRNA from 1 species